GACUAUGAAAACACGGAUGACUUCUGGUGCUGUGCGGUGUGGAGGGAAGGCCAGGAGGAGGUGGAGGGUGUGGUUCCCAGUACCUGGGUGGUGGGCAGGAAGGUCCUGUGGCCUCCAGCCAAUGGGAGGAAGGCUCUGAAAGAGAGACACAAGCCAGGAGCCAAUUGGACGACAUAUGACCUUGUUAAAGUCAAACUAUUCUCAGAAUCUCUGGAAGAGUGUGAAGGCUACAGUAGGUCCAGUGAUGAGCUCACUGACAACGGAGACAGUGAGCCCAACACGCAAAAGAAGAAGAGGAGGAGGAGGAAGAGGAGGACGGGUGAGGGGCACGUUACCGGUCAGUGUGAGAUAGCCUUAACAUAGACAUUGAUAAAUUAGGAUUGCUUCUGUAGGACAGUGUGUUUGACGAACAUUUGAUUUCCAUCAACUUUUACAAAAGGCACUGAUCAGAUACCUCAAGGAGGACCCAGUGGAGAUGGAAGGAUACACACAGGUGUGUCAGGAUCCUCAAACUCUCCUCCUCUGAAGAGGAGAGUGAUGACGAAAUCUGGAACCCUGGAGGAGAGUUCUGGAGCUCUAGAAGCAGAACCUCAGCUGGAUCCGUCUGAGCUCAGAGGGCAAGUUUCACUGCAUCUACCGGUCCAUUGGUUUGUCACACAAGUGUUCUAUGUCAGUUCUGAUCAAUCUCUUUUGUUGUUAUUACAGCCUUGAUGACGCACUCAACAAGGAGAGCUACCUCAUAGAGGGACCACACUCUUCUGACGCAUGGGAUUCUGUUUUUCCAACCUCUCAGUCCAGAGAGGGAACAUUCCUAAGUGGACAGGAUAUGAUGGGAAACCUGCUGAAUUCAACCCAAAGUUUUCCUCUUCCAAAUGACCAGUUCCAGGAGCAGGUCCUGGGUCUGCUGGUGGACAUCAGACAGUCAGUGUGGGAUCUAGGAGGAAGGGUGGGAGUUCUAGAACACUGGGGUGGUUCUAGGGGUUCUGGAACAGAUUUCCAUUUUGACGUGUGCAGAACCUACGAGGACAUGGCCAACCUGGAGAAAGUUCUAGAGCCUCCUGAGGUCGCUGCCCAGAUGAAACAGUUCCUGAGCAGGAUCGGUGGGAACACCUUGAGGGAAAAUGUCACCAGGGUGAUGGAGAGGCUGAUGACCAAUGAACUGAUGAGUACCUUCAACAUGAAAGGAAGGAAAGGAACCAAGAAGAGUUUUCUCACACACUCCCUCAGUAAAAUCAUUAUUGACAGCAUCAUGAUCACCCACCCGUACGCCACAGAGUCUGCUGUGAUGCACCUGAUGGCCAACGUACUGAAGUACGCCCCAGACCGACGCGGAGGAGGAGGCAGACCCCCCAGACAGUCACCCCAGGUCCCCCAUACCCAGAGACAGCAACACAUCCAACAACACAUCAACAUCAAACAGGAGCAAGACUAUUAA
rnacentral:lncRNA from 1 species